GUAAGCAGGUUACAUAAAAAGAGUGUGUCCAGAGCUCUGGGGCAAAGUUUACCUCAGAAGUGUUGUUUAUGUAAGUCUAAGCAGAGCUGCUUAUUAGUCGUAGUAUAAUUUCGGUGCCCCGAUGGCUGGUUUAUUUUGGGAAGGUGGCGGCGAGGGUUUGGAAGCUCCAAAAAAGAAAAAUCAACACAUUUGUGUUCGGGAGUGGCAAGGGAACAAGUUGCAAUCUUUUUUUACAGAAAGCAGUGGAAGCAGAUUUUCAUGAAUUCUACAGCUGCAGCCACCUGAGAGACUGGAAAUGGAUUCUUCUCUAGGUGAAAAUGCAGCCUGGCCAACACAGAUUUGAGCGUUUGAAAUCCUGAGAACAAAGUUCAGGGAUAGAAGCUAAGAAAUGGAACUGCUGGAUCAUAGGGAAGCUCUGGGUUUACUUUUUGGAUAAAUCCCCAGACUUUUCCAUAGCGACUGAAUCUGACGACAUUUCCACCAACAUUGAGUGUCACUGUGACUGUCACUGUCCUCCUGUUGUUCAUCGAUUUGCUCGAGCGGGCCCAGUAACAUCUCCAUUGUGACAAUUGUGACUGUGUUUUGGCAUAUCGAAUACGUCACGGGCAGCUUGCCAAGCUUUGCCGUGUGGGCGAAAUACUCUUGGUAGCUUGCUGGGCUCUCUGAGAGGGGCGGAGGAAUCGAACCUGGGUCGGCCAGGUCGGCCACAUGCAAGGCAAAUGCCCUACCCGCUGUGCUAUCGCUCCCUUUCCCCCCACAUCCUUGUCAACAUAACUUGUUGCAAGUGUUUCUGGUAUGUGCCAUUCUCACUGGCAUGAUAUAACAUCACACUGUUUCUUUGACUUACAUUGAACACUUUUUCAUAUGCCUACUAAGACCGUCCUCUUUGGGGAAGUGUCUACUCUUUAGCUCCGCUUGCAAUUUUGAUGUGGUUAUUGGUUUUGUUGUUGUUAUUGAGUUUUGAGAGUGCUUGAUGGAUCUUAGAGAUUAGUCUUUUAUCUGGCAUAUAUGGCGCACAAAUAUUUUCCCCCAUUCAGUAGGGUGUUUUUUAUUUUAGCCAGUUUCUUUUGCCAUGUUAAAACCUUUUUAAGUUUGAUGUAAUUCCAUUAUUUAUUUAUUUAUUUAUUUAUUUCUUGCCAGUGGAGUCAAAUUUCUCCAUGAUCCAUAUCCCUAAGAGUUCUGUCUACGUUUGUAUUAGAUGUAUUUUUAUGGAUUCAGACCUAAUCUGGAGUUCUUUAAUGCAUUUUGAAUUAACUUUUGUCUAUGAUGUGAAAUAAGAAUGCAGUUUUCUUUGUGUUAAUUUAUUUUUAUUUUUAAAUUUAUUUUAAUGUAGGAAAAAAGACACAACUGUUGAUACAGUUCUAGAAUUCAAAUUGAUAACAAAGCUUUGAUAUUAAAAAUCAAUAAGUAUAAAAAUCAAUCUAAGUGAAAAUUGUUAUAUCAGAUUGUAGG